AUUGAACGCUGGCGGCAGGCCUAACACAUGCAAGUCGAACGCGUGGCGGACGGGUGAGUAAUGUCUGGGAAUCUGCCUGAUGGAGGGGGAUAACUACUGGAAACGGUCGCUUAUACCGCAUACCAUCGGAUGUCCCCAGAUGGGAUUAGCGAGUAGGUGGGGUAAAGGCUCCCCUAGGCGACGAUCCCUAGCUGGUCUGAGAGGAUGACCAGCCACACUGGGACUGAGACACGGCCCAGGCUCCUACGGGAGGCAGCAGUGGGGAAUAUUGCACAAUGGGCGCAAGCCUGAUGCAGCCAUGCCGCGUGUAUGAAGAAGGCCUUCGGGUUGUAAAGUACUUUCAGCGGGGAGGCGUUACCGACAGAAGAAGCACCGGCUAACUCCGUGCCAGCAGCCGCGGUAAUAC
rnacentral:rRNA from 1 species